UUAACUAGGAAAUAAUCAUGUUCCAAUCUUGUUAAACAGAAAUCAGAAAUAGAAUCUCUAUGAUCAAAUAUGAAAACGUAUAGAAGAUAUCUGAACUAUAAAUAAUUUUGAUACGAGUAUUCAGUCUUUAAAAAUUUUGACUAGUUUUAGAAUUUUCGUUCCUGCCAAAAUCCUGCAAAAGUAAAAAAGUUUCUCCCUGUCCCCGCCGGGACCCCUAUCUCCACC
rnacentral:lncRNA from 1 species